AAUCCCCGCGCGAGGCUGGCGAUUUUUCUCCUGCCUCUCCUCUCUCGUGCCCUCUCCUCUUCCCCCUGCUUGGGCUACAGCCACCACUCCCUCCUUUGCCCGAUCUCCAUUCAUGGCCAUGGCCGGGCGGUACAGCGCCGGUCUUGGGCUCGAGCGCCGCGUGCAGGACGAGCUGGGCGCAGGCCUUGGGCGGGAGCAGGACAUAAGAUACAUGGAGGAGGUUGCCUGACCUACUAAUGACGAAGAAGAGCAAGGGGCGGGCCAGCACCACCACGGAGUUGUUGGGGGCUGUUGCGAGUAGGAGCACGCGAUUCCCUAGCCUACUUUGUCACCGAGGACGCAGGUCAGCAGCCCAGGAACCUGCCCUCCUCCUCCUCUUCUUCAAAGGAGACCAGCAUAUCGGUUUUAGUAUGCUCAUAAGUUGCUUGAUGAAAACUCUACCAAAUAUUAUUGUUGACAGGAAGUGGCAGCACGUGGUGGUGGUCCUCGGCAACGACGAGAGGGAGAGGGGAUGGAUGCUUCAAGAUUCGAUGCGGUUGUCAUGAGCAUCCAAUCCAUUUGGCUCCAUACUGCCAAUUUGGUCAUGUUUCUCGACUUCCCCCUUUUUAAUUUGGCUUGUAUGUUUGAUGUGUGACCUGAAGGUUUGUUAGUUUUGUUUCAUGGAUAAUUAUUUUUUUGGCAUGAAUUACUCCAGAGCAGGGUGUAUACAGUAUUCUUCAGAUUUUGGUUAUAUUAGGCUGGUCUUCUUCGAUGGUAUGGGCAAAGAGAUUAUUUGUAGGUCAUUGUUGUUAUUUUAGCCAGCAUUCUCGUGAAUAAGUCCUUACAGGGAGAUAGUAGCUCCUUUUUGUAGAUCUAAAUUGCAGCUCUUUAUUUGUAGGACACCUACACAUUUUAGAUUUAUUGUUUGUUGCUCUCUUUACAUGCAAUGUAUGAGAACCAAGAUGCAAAAUGCUACAUCGCAACCUGUGUACCAAGCUUGAAGAAAUUUAGAAAUUGAGGCAGCAUCAAAUCCAAGAGCUUUUACAUCAGAAUGUUGUUGUUGAGUUGCCAUGGUAUACCCUUUGCCUUUUCAUGAAUUUCAAUUCUUCUUGCAACUUCGACUUAAAUAAUAUUUAGAAAAUUCCAUACUGUCUAAAUAACAUGAUAUGCCCACAGUUUAAGUCUUGAAAAUUAUAGUAAUACUUAUGUCUUCAUGGUGGUUCAGCUAUGCAUUUAGUGUCUUUUCAUAACAGACCCAACACCUUAUAUGAUGCAUUUAGUAUCUUUGUUCAAUUGACUAUUUACUUGUUUGUGCUCUUUUCUGUGUUCGAUUUGAUGUAGUGAUGCAGUUGCUUACGUGAUGCAGAUAUUCAUGGGAUAGUCAAUGUACUUGCUGGUGUGUUUGAGUUGCUAAUUCUGCAAAGGAAGCUAAAUGACCACCGGAGGAUCUCAUGGCAUGACUGAAAAAAGAUGGGGAUCCUAAAUUGCCGGAGAUGACGUCUCAAGGAAUGAGCAUUGUUUUGGGUUAUCAGGCUGGUGUGUGGAUGGUGAGGAGAACGGUAGAGUUCAUGGACAUUGUUGCCCGAGCACAUCUCAAGGGACUGAAGUUUCUCUACCUCAAUGAUGUUGAGUGUGCAGAAGAUGUAAUUUUUUUUGCAUGAGGUAGUGAUUCAAACUUAAUUGGGUCAACUCCAUGUGUCUACAAAUUAUGUGCAGGUGUAUUUUAAAGGGGAAAAAGAGUGAAGCUGGCCCUGGUUCGUCAUGGAGGAUUUCCCUCCUCCGCCAUUUGAGUUCCCAAUUGGCCGCCGCCGUUUUGGUCAUCCUUCUGUCCAGAAGGCAGCCACACAUCUAGGUGUCUCUCUCUGCUACUGCUUGAAAAUGAUCUCUCUCUGCUACUGCUUGGAAACAGAGUCCUCCACUUAACUGGAGCUUGGGACUUUCUGGAGUAGCAAAGAGGAGGCAGGGGCAAGAGGAGAAGAGGAAAUCCACUGAUGCUUCUUCACACUACCCCUAUAAUGUAGACGAAUAGAAAAACUGGGUCUUGCGGAAAUGGGAUGAAGAUUUAUGUAUACUAGCUGAAACACCGUGCUUUGCUGCGGAAAAAUAAGCUAAUAGCUAAUUCAAAAUAAGGUGGAUAUGGUUUUUAUGCAACGGUGACCAUAGUUUUGUAAAUGGAUAAGAGUUCAUGCAAUAACAAAUAUAAUGGGGCAUACCAAUAUUUGACCAGGUGCGCUGCUCCAUCCAAAGUAGCAAAAUGCGUGUUAAAAUCCAUCAACUCUGCUACCUAUAAUUUGCUGAUGAGGAAUUUAUGUUGGGGAUAGUGCCCCGCUCACAUAUUAAAAAUAUAUUUAUUUAUUUGCUCAGAGCUCGAUUGUACAUUUACAUUUGUUAUAUUUGGUACUUUCCGAAGGAAAAUAGGAAAUGGCAACCUAUCCAUGUUAUCUGGAAUAAGUACUUUACUUAUACGACUUCCAUGUUUUUACAAUUUUACUUCAGCAUGAACCAUGAAGUCAUAUAUGAAGAAAUUACGGCUCAUCAGCAAAGUAAUGUAUCUGAAUAUUAUCAGUUUAUCGUGCUUUGGAUCAUUGCUGCUUUCGGCUAAUUGUAUCAUAUAGUUGAUGGUGGCGAUUGUAUGAUUAAAGGAUGCUAUCAAGAAGUAUUAUGCAUCGAUUGUAAGUUUUGUCUUGUUUUCCUGCACUUUCCCUGCUUAGUUGAAUUGAGUGAGUUCUGAAUACCAAAUGAUAAUUAAUUUGAUGUUUAUGCUUCCUUACUGGCUUCUAUGACAAUUGGUCAAGCCCAAAAAUGAGAGCACACAGUCUGCACGUUGAUGCAACUGUCGAAAUUCUUGAGCUGAGUUCAGGAAGUAUGGUGCUAUCAAGCCUGGCGAGUAGUACACUGUCAGGUUAGUUAAUAUUGUAUGAAUGUAGGGCUUGGUUUCCAUAAAUCAUAUGCUUGCUGACAUUUUUGUGAUGGUUGUGCAGCCUGAUGGGUUUAUUUGAUUUUCAUGCUAUCCUAUCUUCCUCUGAAUACGUUGCAUUUGCUUCAUCCGCUCACAUCUUCCAUUUGUAGUUCAUUUUUCUGCUUCCAAUCAAUGCACAUAGAUACUACUUUGUGUGGCUUUUGUGCUACAGAACUUGUGGUUCCCUGCACUGUAUAUCCUUAGUUCAGUUUCAUCUCUAUAUGCCAGUGGCCUUCUCUGUCAGUAGUGAGGCAAUAGGUUAAAGCUGCAUAGUAGUGCCUGCUUCUUCUUUACAUAAGUUGGUCACAUUGUUUCCACAUGUUUCAAGGAACACAGGUUUAACCAAAUUAAACCAUCAAAUGAGAGAAUACCAUGCAUAGUUGUAGGGUAAUUUGUUUAGCUCAAAAUAAUUAAAGGUUUUUAAGAUGCUACUACGAGAACUAGAAUAGUGGGGCAUAUAGGGCUUUCUAUCAUGGUUAGGGAAAUUUCAUAUAUCCAUAAAUUUAAAAGCUUUUACUUAAUUUAUAAUGAAUAAAGUGGAAGAGGUGUCAUUCAUAUGUAUUAGUUAAAGAAAGGUAAAUACUGAAAUCAGUAACUUUUUUCUGCGCCUAAAUGAAGAGCAUGCCAUUUUCUUCCUAGCAAAUCAGGUUGUUAUUUAAAUUCAUAUACUUGUUUAUUCUAUUUCCACUUCAUAUGUAGAUAUGAACUGACAAAAAAUUCGAGUGGUUUGUUUCCUUAUCUAUUGUGUAGGACACUCUGUGUAUUUUUACUUAUUAACAUCUCCUAGAUGCUAUGCUCUUAUUUUACUUUGUGUUAUUCUGAAAGUUCACCCAACAGGAUUUAUUGAUAGAACUCUUCAGAAUACGCGGUGUAUUGUUGAUUGCUAGUGCUAUGUUUUUUUCAUACUCACAGCUAAUUGGUCUUUUAGAUGUUCAUCGUGUCGUGUCUUUGCUUAUUAGCGGUUACCUGUUUCUGUAUAACUCCAAUGUUACAUCAUGUUAUUGCUAUGUGAUUUUCGAACCUGACUGAAAUGCACUGGUAGCGCAGUUUUGUUGUGCAUGUUCCUUAAACUGGACACUAGCCCAGCUUAGCCUAAUCAUCAAAAAGCGCUACCGCUGAUUCCUGGUACAUCAGGAAAAAGGUCCUCUUUGAAAUUUCAUAGCCCGAUCACCACUGUCUAAUUUGUAUAUGAUAUUGUUUUUCAUUGAGUCACUACUUAAUUUGAGCAGGACAUUGUUACUACCAUAUCAAGAUACGCUCUGUUUAUACAUUGGGUCACUACUUCAUUUGAGCAGGAAAAUUUGUAGCUUGUCCAAUUCUGCAUCGGCCUUCAUAUUAAAUGGUAUGCGAAAGCUGUCAGCAUGAGUAGCUCCGUCAGAGUGUUCCCUUGGAAGAAGCAGUCCUAAUGCAAGAGAAAGAAAGUAACUGAGGGAACCUAUCUUGGAGGAUAUAAAUCAUCGAACCAAACGUCCUUCCACAAAGAACUGUGUCACCUGGAUUUUUUGUGCAUGUUGUAACUCCACUGUAAAUAUUAAACAUUAGCUACUUAAUUGACUCAAUUAGUGGAGUUUUUGUUAGACGUUGUAAUAUCCAAAUAUGUUCAGGUUCAUUCAGAAAAAAUGUUCAGGCUUGUUAA